GCUCAGGAUGAACGCUAGCUACAGGCUUAACACAUGCAAGUCGAGGGGCAGCAUUGGAGUAGCAAUACUUCAGAUGGCGACCGGCGCACGGGUGAGUAACACGUAUCCAACCUGCCGCUUACUCGGGGAUAGCCUUUCGAAAGAAAGAUUAAUACCCGAUGGUAUAAAGAGUUCGCAUGUUCUCUUUAUUAAAGAAUUUCGGUAAGCGAUGGGGAUGCGUUCCAUUAGAUGGUUGGCGGGGUAACGGCCCACCAAGUCUACGAUGGAUAGGGGUUCUGAGAGGAAGGUCCCCCACAUUGGAACUGAGACACGGUCCAAACUCCUACGGGAGGCAGCAGUGAGGAAUAUUGGUCAAUGGACGCGAGUCUGAACCAGCCAA
rnacentral:rRNA from 1 species